GGAGGGUGCAAGCGUUGUCCGGAUUUAUUGGGUUUAAAGGGUGCGUAGGCGGCUCUUUAAGUCAGUGGUGAAAGCCUCCAGCUUAACUGGAGAACAGCCAUUGAUACUGAAGAGCUUGAGUACAGACGAGGUAGGCGGAAUUUAUGGUGUAGCGGUGAAAUGCAUAGAUACCAUAAAGAACUCCUAUUGCGAAGGCAGCUUACUAGGCUGUAACUGACGCUGAGGCACGAAAGCGUGGGGAUCAAACAGGAUUAGAUACCCUGGUAGUCCACGCCGUAAACGAUGAUUACUCGAUGUUCGCGAUAUACAGUGAGCGUCCAAGCGAAAGCGUUAAGUAAUCCACCUGGGAAGUACGAUCGCAAGAUUG
rnacentral:rRNA from 1 species